rnacentral:rRNA from 1 species
UACGUAGGUGGCAAGCGUUGUCCGGAUUUAUUGGGCGUAAAGCGAGCGCAGGCGGUUUUUUAAGUCUGAUGUGAAAGCCUUCGGCUUAACCGGAGAAGUGCAUCGGAAACUGGGAGACUUGAGUGCAGAAGAGGACAGUGGAACUCCAUGUGUAGCGGUGGAAUGCGUAGAUAUAUGGAAGAACACCAGUGGCGAAGGCGGCUGUCUAGUCUGUAACUGACGCUGAGGCUCGAAAGCAUGGGUAGCGAAC